UACAGAGGGUGCGAGCGUUAAUCGGAAUUACUGGGCGUAAAGCGCACGUAGGCGGCUUGGUAUGUCGGGUGUGAAAUCCCCGGGCUCAACCUGGGAACUGCAUCCGAAACUGCCUUGCUCGAGUAUGGGAGAGGGAAGUGGAAUUUCCGGUGUAGCGGUGAAAUGCGUAGAUAUCGGAAGGAACAUCAGUGGCGAAGGCGCUCAUCUGGCCCAAUACUGACGCUGAGGCGCGAAAGCUAGGGGAGCAAACGGG
rnacentral:rRNA from 1 species